AACUUUUACAGUUCCACAGUUUGAAAGCAGCUCAGGCCAUGGCUCUCCGGAGAGGAAGAGAAGAAAGAUUGGCUUUCUUGGUGUGUCCCAACGGGAUCGAUGUGAAGCUGCAUCAUCUGAGGUUACAGUUAAACCUCGGAGGAAGAGAACGUUGGAUGAUUUGACAGAUGCUCCACGUGGAAGCAGCUCAGGCAGCUGUUGGAAGAGAAAGAAGAAAAAAUCGGGCUAGGACAGGAAGCAGCUGCGCCCAGUGUGGAGGGCUGAAAGGACCAGAACUUCAUGAAGAGGAUGUAGAAGAUGGUAUCAGUAUUGCAGGUUUACAACCUGCACAGGUGGUAACACACACUCACACACACAAAAAAAUGCCCAGUGUAGUUUAGAGAAUAUAUAGAUGCCUACAUUCAGAAACACACAUUCAUUGG